rfam:Otolemur garnettii contig025419, whole genome shotgun sequence.
GCCGGGCAUUGUGGUGGGAGCCUGUAGUCCUAGCUACUUGGAGGCUGAGGCAAGAGAAUCGCUUGGGCCCAAGAGUUUGAGAUUGCUGUGAGCUGUGACGCCACAGCACUCUACCAAGGGUGACACAGUGAAACUCUGUCUCAAAAAAAUAAAUAAAAAGACUUUUUUUUUUUUUUUUGAGACAGUUUCACUAUGUCACUCUCAGUAGAGUUGCCAGGGCAUCACAGCUCACAGCAACCUCAAACUCUUGAGCUUUAGCGAUUCUCUUGCCUCAA